rnacentral:lncRNA from 1 species
GAAGCUGCUUCAGGACAACAGAUGCUCUCCCAUUCAACUGAGAGAUAUGAUGGAAAGAAAAGAGGCAGGCCUGCUACAAGGAGCAUGCAGAAAGCGAAAUCAGAUGUUGAACAGGUUCGAAGAGCUCGAACUCGAAAGGCCAAGGGGCCUGCAAAAAUAAGUGAAGUUGAGUCAGACAUCAGUGACCAUACUGAUGAAAAAACAAAAGCUGAAACUGGAAAUAUUGGAACAUUAUGCACUGAAAACUCAGAAAAGCACGAGUUUAAAACAUUAGAAAACGAGAUAUCUAACUCAAAGAAACGAGGAAGACCUCCUGCAGGGAAUGCACAGAGAGAGAAAGCAGAGGCUGGAAAAAUUCGAAGAACUCGGGCACAUAUUGCCAAGGGAUCUGCAAAUAUAGGUGGUAUUAACAACAGUGACUCUUCCGAUGAAGCAAACGCAGAAGAAUCUAAAAGGGGGAAAGAUGAAAACGAGAAAACGAAUGAGUUUAAAAUGCUAGAAGACUGCAAUGCAAAACAAAAAGGCAAAGCCAUUGAAGAAGUUCGUGCAGACUCCAAAUCUGUGGAAAAACCUGAGAAGCUUGAAGUGAUGAAGGAUCCACUUGAAGCAAUGUUAUUAGAUAUGGUUCCAAGUCUUGGAAUGAGUGGAACUAAAA